rnacentral:rRNA from 1 species
CCUACGGGAGGCAGCAGUGGGGAAUAUUGCACAAUGGGGGAAACCCUGAUGCAGCGACGCCGCGUGAGUGAAGAAGUAUUUCGGUAUGUAAAGCUCUAUCAGCAGGGAAGAAAAUGACGGUACCUGAUUAAGAAGCCCCGGCUAACGACGUGCCAGCAGCCGCGGUAAUACGUAGGGGGCAAGCGUUAUCCGGAUUUACUGGGUGUAAAGGGAGCGUAGACGGCAUCACAAGUCUGGAGUGAAAUGCCGCGGCUUAACCCCGGAACUGCUUUGGAAACUGUGCAGCUCGAGUGCAGGAGAGGUAAGUGGAAUUCCUAGUGUAGCGGUGAAAUGCGUAGAUAUAAGGAGGAACACCAGUGGCGAAGGCGGCUUACUGGACUGUAACUGACGUUGAGGCUCGAAAGCGUGGGGAGCAAACAGGAUUAGAUACCCUGGUAGUC